rnacentral:rRNA from 1 species
GGGCCCGCACAAGCGGUGGAGCAUGUGGUUUAAUUCGACGCAACGCGAAGAACCUUACCUAGAUUUGACAUCUGGGGAAUCUGCUGGAAACAGUGGAGUGCCUUUCGGGGAGCCCCAAGACAGGUGCUGCAUGGCUGUCGUCAGCUCGUGCCGUGAGGUGUUGGAUUAAGUUCCGCAACGAGCGCAACCCUUAUCCUUAUUUGCCAUCAUUCAGUUGGGAACUAUAAGGAAACUGCCAGUUUAUAACUGGAGGAAGGUGGGGAUGACGUCAAGUCAGCAUGGCCUUUAUAUCUAGGGCUACACACGUGCUACAAUGGCCGGUACAGCGGGUUGCAACACCGCGAGGUGAAGCGAAUCCCUUAAAGCCGGCCCCAGUUCGGAUUGGAGUCUGCAAUUCGACUCCAUGAAGUUGGAAUCGCUAGUAACCGCGGAUCAGCACGCCGCGGUGAAUACGUUCUCGGGCCUU